rnacentral:rRNA from 1 species
CAAUAGCGUAUAUUAAAGUUGUUGCAGUUAAAAAGCUCGUAGUUGGAUUUCUGUGAGAGUGCCGGUGUCGGCUGAUGCUUGUACGCAGGCGCUCUUACAUCCUUCUGUUAACUGAUCUUGGCAUUUUAUUGCUGGUUCAGGGCUCAGAUAUUUUACCUUGAGAAAAUUAGAGUGUUUCAGGCAGGCUUAUGCCGGAAUACAUUAGCAUGGAAUAAUGGAACAGGACCUGUGCGUCUUUCGGGGCGCCAGUCUCCGUUAUUGGUUUCGGGGACUAAAGUAAUGAUUAAUAGGGAUAGUUGGGGGCAUUAGUGUUUAAUAGUCAGAGGUGAAAUUCUCGGAUUUGUUAAAGACUAACUUAUGCGAAAGCAUUUGCCAAGGAUGUUUNCAUUAA